rnacentral:rRNA from 1 species
AGUGAACGUUGGCGGCGUGGAUUAGGCAUGCGAGUCGAGCGAGAACCGUAGCAAUACGGGGACAGCGGCGAAAGGGACAGUAAUAUGUAGGUACCUACCCUCGUGUCCGGGAUAGCUGCGGGAAACUGCAGGUAAUACCGGAUGACAUCUCCGGAUCAAAGGUGUGACUCCGCCCGGGGAGGGGCCUGCAUCCUAUUAGCUUGUUGGCGGGGUAACGGCCCACCAAGGCGACGAUGGGUAGCGGGUGUGAGAGCACGACCCGCGUCAUUGGGACUGAGACACUGCCCAGACACCUACGGGUGGCUGCAGUCGAGAAUCUUCGGCAAUGGGGGAAACCCUGACCGAGCGACGCCGCGUGCGGGAUGAAGGCCUUCGGGUUGUAAACCGCUGUCGUAGAGGAGGAAAUGCAGGGGGGUUCUCCCCUCUGUUUGACUUAUUCUAGGAGGAAGGACGGGCUAAGUUCGUGCCAGCCGCCGCAGUAAAAC